rnacentral:lncRNA from 1 species
GGAAUGGGUUGGGCAUACCAUCUGUAAUGAUUUCCAGGAUGCCUUCGUAGUGGACUCCUGUGUUGUUCCGGAAGGUGACUUUCCAUUUCCUGUGAAAGCACUGUACGGACUGGAAGAAUACGACACUCAGGAUGGGAUUGCCAUAAACCUCCUGCCGCUGCUGUUUUCUCAGGACUUUGCAAAAGAUGGGGGUCCGGUGACCUCACAGGAAUCAGGCCAAAAAUUGGUGUCUCCGCUGUGCCUGGCUCCGUAUUUCCGGUUACUGAGACUUUGUGUGGAGAGACAGCAUAACGGAAACUUGGAGGAGAUUGAUGGUCUACUAGAUUGUCCUAUAUUCCUAACUGACCUGGAGCCUGGAGAGAAGUUGGAGUCCAUGUCUGCUAAAGAGCGUUCAUUCAUGUGUUCUCUCAUAUUUCUUACUCUCAACUGGUUCCGAGAGUCACCCCAGACUAUGUCCCUCCUCUUGGAAACUUUGAUGUGGAAACUUUAGAUAUAACACCUCAUACUGUUACUGCUAUUUCAGCAAAAAUCAGAAAGAAAGGAAAAA